rnacentral:misc_RNA from 1 species
GGCGAGAGAGAGCUCGUUGUGGAACUCGCGCUUACCUUGGAGUGAGCCAUUGAGGUCCAUGAGCUUGACUGCUUAUGGCUCGUUUGUUAAAGGGAGAAUGGCUUUGUAAACCAAGCCAAAUCCGCCACGACCAAGCCGGUUGGAGGGAGAGAACGAAGCCGUGGCUCUCCGGAGGAGCGAAUAGGAGAAGCGGCGACAUUGCUGGUGGUGGUGGUAGUGAUUAGGAGAUUUAAGGUCUGAUGGAGCUGUACGGUUGCGCCAUAGUUUGCGGUAAAAAAAGAAAAUGAGGAUAAUGAAAGACAAAAGAGUAAAAGUCAGGGCCCCGGCGAUGACUGGAGGGAGGAGCUUCACGCCGUGGUGGUCGUGGUGGUGUUGGUGGCGGCGGCGGUCGGUGUUGUUCAGUGGGGGCGAGGCGAGGAGGGAUGGCAGUUGGCGAGAUGGCAUAGUAGUAAAUAGAAGUGAAAUGGAAGGAGCGAUGGGGUAUUCAUGAACUAAAACAGAAAUAGCAUUAGAAGGUAGAAGGAGACAGGAAGUAGAACAUAGUGUGGACUGUGAUGGGUGUUUCUUCAGCUACGGUUGUUUCGGCUUUCUUUUCUCGGGGGAUAACGGAGGAGGAAAGCGCUGGGUUGAAGACGACGACGUCGUUAGAUAUUAAUGCUAGUGUAACCAGUUGGUUUGACUUUUUCCCCUACUGCACUGCACGAUUUCGAUGGUCAUUAUCUUAAUCUAACAUUCGGAUUUAGUCGUGAUCUAGUAGUAACUACAUUGAAUUUGAA